UUUUUAGGGAAAAAUGGGAAAUUUUUGGGGAAAAUUGGGAAUUUUGGGGGAAAAUGGGAUUUUGGGGGAGAAAAUUGGGAAUUUUGGGGGGGAAAAACGGGAAUUUGGGGGGAAAUUGGGGAUUUGGGGGAAAGAAAAUGAAAAUUUAUGGGGAAAAAUGUGGAUUUUUAUGGGGAAAACGGGGAUUUAGGGGGAAAAAAUGGGCGGAAAAAUGGGAAUUUGGGGGUAAAAUGGGAAUUUGGGGGGGAAAAUGGGAAUUUGGGGAAAGGGAAGUGAAAAUUUAUGGGGAAAAAUGGGAAUUUUUUGAAGAAAAAUGUGAAUUUUUAUGGGAAAAUGGGAAUUUUUAUGGGGAAAAAUGGAGGUUUUAGAUGGAAAAAUGAGGAUUUGGGGAAAAAAAAUGGGAAUUUGGGGGGAAAAUGGGAAUUUGGGGGGAAAAAUGGGGAUUUUGGGAGGAAAAAUGGGAAUUUUGGGGGGAAAAUGGGAAUUUUGGGGGGAAAAAUUGGAAUGAGGAGGGAAAAACCGGGAAUUUGGGGGAAAAAUGGGAAAUUUUUGGGGAAAAAUGGGGAUUUUUGGGGGGAAAAUGGGAAUGAGGGGGAGAAAAAUGGGAAUUUUGGGGGGAAAAUGGGAGUUUGGGGGAAAAAUGGGAAUUUGGGGGAAAAAAAUGGGAAUUUUUUGAAGAAAAAUGUGAAUUUUUAUGGGGAAAAUGGGAAUUUGGGGUGGGAAAUUGGGAAUUUGGGGGGAAAAUUGGGAAAUUUUUAGGGAAAAAUGGGAAAUUUUUGGGGAAAAUUGGGAAUUUUGGGGGAAAAUGGGAUUUUGGGGGGGAAAAUGGGAAUUUGGGGGAAAAACGGGAAUUUGGGGGGAAAUUGGGGAUUUGGGGGAAAGAAAAUGAAAAUUUAUGGGGAAAAAUGUGGAUUUUUAUGGGGAAAACGGGGAUUUAGGGGGAAAAAAUGGGCGGAAAAAUGGGAAUUUGGGGGUAAAAUGGGAAUUUGGGGGGGAAAAUGGGAAUUUGGGGAAAGGGAAGUGAAAAUUUAUGGGGAAAAAUGGGAAUUUUGGGGGGAAAAUGGGGAUUUUGGGGGGAAAAAUGGAGGUUUUAGGAGAAAAAAUGGAGAUUUUAGAUGGAAAAAUGAGGAUUUGGGGAAAAAAAAUGGGAAUUUUUAUGGGGAAAAUGGGAAUUUGGGGGGAAAAUUGGGAAUUUUGGGGGAAAAAAGGGGAAUUUUGGGGGUGGGAAAUUGGGGAUUUUGGGCAAAAAAUGGGAAUUUUGGGGGAAAAAUGGGAAUUUUGGGGGGGAAAAAAUGGAAUUUUUUGAAGAAAAAUGUGAAUUUUUAUAGGGAAAAAUGGGAAAUUUUUGGGGAAAAUUGGGAAUUUUGGGGGAAAAUGGGAUUUUGGGGGAGAAAAUUGGGAAUUUUGGGAGGUAAAAUGGGAAUUUUGGGGGAGAAUUGGGAAUUUUUUGGGGAAAAAUGGGAAUGAGGGGGGAAAAUGGGGAAUUUGGGAUCUCAAAGGAUCAGGAAAUAAAUCUUGGGAUUAAAAAAUCUUGGGAAUUUGG
ensembl:lncRNA